rnacentral:rRNA from 1 species
GACGAACGCUGGCGGCGUGCCUAAUACAUGCAAGUUGAGCGCUGAAGGUUGGUACUUGUGCCAACUGGAUGAGCAGCGAACGGGUGAGUAACGCGUGGGGAAUCUGCCUUUGAGCGGGGGACAACAUUUGGAAACGAAUGCUAAUACCGCAUAAAAACUUUAAACACAAGUUUUAAGUUUGAAAGAUGCAAUUGCAUCACUCAAAGAUGAUCCCGCGUUGUAUUAGCUAGUUGGUGAGGUAAAGGCUCACCAAGGCGAUGAUACAUAGCCGACCUGAGAGGGUGAUCGGCCCACAUGGGACUGAGACACGGCCCAAACUCCUACGGGAGGCAGCAGUAGGGAAUCUUCGGAAAUGGACGAAAGUCUGACCGAGCCACGCCGCGGGAGGGAAGAAGGGUUUCGGAUCGUAAAACUCGGUUGGUAGGGAAGAACGUUGGUGAGAGUGGAAAGCUCAUCAAGUGACGGUAACUACCCAGAAAGGGACGGCUAACUACGUG